UAACUCUCCUAUUCGUUUGCACUAUUGCUCUUGUGGUUUUAAUUUUUAUGAGGUUUUUAUGCACAGCUCCUCUUCUGUUUACCUUUUUAAAUAAUUUCGAUGGUAGAAAGCAGCGGGGGUAUUAACAGACAGGUCCGUCAAUAGCCGCUUUCUACACUGAUUAUUUCCAGGUAGUACUGCUCCAACAUGCUGGCUCGCUGCUCUGUAUGAAAGGUACAAACCCAGUGUUGUAUUACAGAUGACGGUGUUUUUCUAUGCUGCUUGUGAAAGUACACAUGGUUGUGAAAUUAUGCCGCAACCAUUGGUUUAGUAUGAAUGAGCGAAUGCAGCAAAUAUUCGUUUCCUGUCUAAUGCAGGAUCUAUGUAUUAGAAUAUGGUAACAUAAAAUAAAACAAUAAAUAAACAUUCUGCAGUGCAUGUUUUUUAUUUGCCUCUGGGUGAAUGUAAACAGCAGCAACAAUAUGGUUUCAUCUUUACAAAAGAUCUGACAUUUGGGAAACAGAUUCCAUCUUGACUAUGAGCAUCAAGCAUCAUGGAUGAAAACCGUCCACCUCAUCUUGCUGGAGUCUAGUGCUGACCGCUCAGGACACUGACCACCACCAAUUGCUUGAUCCAGGAUGUUUAUAAGGAAGGUUCUGUGAAGGUGUGGGCUCCACAGUCUGAUUUCCAGUGCUGCUCCCAUUUUGUCCAGACCGGACCUUUUAAAGGAGCAGCCUUGUCCAAGAUGGGCCAACAUGGCUCCUAUCCCGGCUCUUUCCUCUCCUCUUGGGGUGAUCACUGCCAGUCACUGGUGAUCAUCGCCGUGGUGCGUGCUCAGGUUGAUCAGGCUGGCAGAUCGUCUCAGUCUGCUGCUCUUCAAUCCAAAACCCCAGUUUCCUUUUCAGACACAUGUUUCAGCAAUAAAGCUGGAAAAAACAGAUGGAAAAACAAAUGUGUAGUGGAGUUUGAAGGAGCCACUGCAUCAGCAUGUACAGCCAAUGCCAUAGACGGCAUCUCCUGAUCCAGUAGAUUUGAACAAUUAUGGCUAAGCACUUUAACUCAAAAUCCAACAAACGUUAUUCGGUGAUGCCGAAACAAAUUCCAGAUUAAAACAAAUGUAGCGAACUCUGAAGGAGCUUCUAGCUGCUGGAUUUACAUUCACUACUGUUGCCAUAGCAUAGAGAAAUAUUAAAUUUAAAAAAAACAUGACAAGAUGGACUUGAUUGAUCCCACACAGGGGAAAUUCACUUAAACCACCUUUUAUACCAAAUGAUGAUUUUUCAAUUCUGUUCGGUACUGGGUAAGUUAUUGUUCCUUUGUGUCAGCUGAUGGGGUGAUAUUUAGUGCUUUAUGGGAACUUGAGCAAAGAAAUGCACUUGGCAAAUCUCUUAUUUCUUACUGCCUCUAAGAGAACUUUAUUACUUGCUUUUUACUACAUGUUUGCAUGCACAUGAUGGCUACCAUGAGUAUCCUUCAGUACCCAGCAGAACUAACAUCAAUAGCUGAGUUUUCAGGAGAGACUACCAGAGCAUGUCCACUGUUACCUCAGUAAUCCUAAAAUGAAAAACAUGGUCACCCUGUUGAUCAGUGGUCGGCAAUUGGCGGCCCGCGGGCCAGAACCGGCCCGCCAGCAAAUAUAAGCAAUAUAAAUAAAUAUAAUAUUGCUUUGAUAGCAGAAAAAUAAAUAAAUUGAUGCGGCUGGUGCUGAAACAGAUCUGUCAUGACAGCUACAAUUACUCAUACAGACACUUCCUCUUAAGUGAUUGUGCCUCCAAAAUAAAAGCACAAACGUUUUUUGCAGCAAUGCUUUGAGUUUAUUGAGAGCUUUUACUUUGAAGAGUUCUGAAGGACAUUCACAAGAGUCUCUGGCGUGCUUGACACACCUGGAAAAAGCCGUCAGUAAACGUGAUUGGAUUCCCCUGAAUCUCCUCAGGGAAAUGAGAAUAAGCAUCCAUAGGAUUUUGAAUAGGGAUCAAACACCGGAAUGCGCACACACUGCAGCACAUGCUUUAUUGUAAACAUGUGCAAAAGUGUCCUUUUUAUUCAAUUUGUUUAACAAGGGAUGUUCUGGCCCUUGAAGAAAAAUUGGCCCGAUGCCAGACUUAUUUGCAGUCUUAUGUUGUGAAAAAAGAUUUGAGUGUGUGUGGGGGAUCAGCCCCCUAGUGGAUAUAUUCUGAAUAUGCCAGAGGUGCUAUACAAGUUCAGACCAUUUCCCUCCUCUCCCAUUCAUGUCAGCUCAACCCACUCUUCAGACCACAAGUGACAUCAGAGACAGACACGCGGUACUUUGAUGAGGAGUUCACAGCGCAGACCAUCACACUCACUCCCCCAGAUAAGUAUGACAGUCUGGACUGUGAGGACCCCAGCCAGCAAGCACAUUUCCCCCAGUUCUCCUAUUCUGCUAGCAUAAGAGAGUGAUAAAGCUCGCACGCACACAGACAGCUCUAAAAUGACCAGAACCUCCAUCUUGAAUGAGGUUUUGGUCCCAUCAGGAUGUAAGUGCCUCGGCUGGCAGCCAUAUUGUUCUUUAGAAAGUCCCUUCGUCCACAUUACGGGCAAAGCCUGGCCAGACUUCAGUACCUCACAUAGCCAUCAGCACAACCCGACAGCACAAUCAGGACCUUGUCUGUAGCAUCUUCAGAUGGUCUAUAAACUACUGCUGCUUUUUCAGACUGUAAACACCAAUAUUUCUUAACACUUUUUAUGGUCUAAUGAGAAGCCAUACAGUUCCUUUUCCAAGUGCUCUUCUUCAGAAUUAGCUGGUGACGGGCAGGUUUGUAUGUGAGGGAGGAAGAAGCGUGGCACUGUUUUUCUAUAGGGGGGUGUGUGUGUGUGUGUGUGUGUGUGUGUGUAUUUCUUUUUAGAGAAAAUGUCAUCAAAUCCAAACUAAAUGUCAUCAGUUGAGAGCACGAGGUUUGUGUGUCUUAAUAUGCAUCAGGAACAACAGAAAUUGAUAACGCUCAAUGGUCAAAGUGUCUCUGCAGAGAAAAAAUGUCUGAGAGAGAGGCUGUCCAUAUGUGUAUGCAAUAAAAAGCAAAUCACUUGAAGAUUAGUUUACUCAUCUCAGAAUGUGAUCUUUGUUAACAGAGCUGUCAAGUGCAACAUAGCAAUGAAUGGGAAUAGGGAAUACCUUAAUGCAUAAGGUGGAUAUGUUCUUUUUCAAAACAAGUUUUUUUUUUUUUUUUUUUUAUUCUAACAAAUUUUUGAUCUUGAUCAGCAAAAUACACCAUCCAUGUGAUUUAGUAGGCUCAGUAAGCACUUGGUCAUUUAAAGAAGACAUGUUCCUAAUGUAGCUGAAAGCUUCCUAGAUUGCUUAUUAUUUUUUAAAUAUAAAUAUAUAGUAUUGUGUAUAAAUGAAAGUUGGCAUCAAAUGUCAGAUUCAUAAUGCUGAGUUUCUGAUGUCCACCAACAUUUGGCCAAUUUUACACCAUUUCAUUUGGCCAAAGUUCUUGUAUGGCUGCUCGUGUUUGGACAACAUUUAACAUUUGAGAACUUUGGAAUUUUCUUUUUUUGUUUGUUGUUUAAGAAGAAAAUGGUUUUAGUAUCAGCACUGCUAUGGGGGGGAUUAACCAACCCUAGCACCAAGUGAAUUCAUUGCACAUUCAGAGAAAGCGUUCAUAUUUGGAAUGUCGACCUUUCUUGGCAUCCGAAGCUAAUUUUGUAGUCUAGUUCCCCCAUACCUGUGUUAGAACUUCUCUUUGUAGCCUCUGUAUAAAAGUAGUCUUUCCUUUGAUCAUAACUCACCAUCUCAUCGUUUACCAGCUGGAUACUUUUACAUGCUUGAAGAUGUGGUUGACAGUUAACAUGUCUGAAUGUCCUCCUGGCAUCUCGUCUUUGCUGAAGAACCAAAGAAUCAUCCAGGGAGCUACGUACAUCAUGAACAUGGUCCUUUGUCAGAUUUUAUGUUUGAGUGCAAUGGUGACUUGCAAGGAUGUCUUUUUAUUAAUUUCAUUCUUCACAUUUAUUAUUAAUCACUGCACAACAUUAAAUGGUAACCAACAUAGAAUGGGUGUUAUACUGUACAUGAAAAUACACCCGCUAUUGUAUUGGUGCUACACUGUUGAGUCACUGGUAAAUAAAAAGCUGAUGCAGCUUCCUGUUAUUCAGAGCCUUCUACCACA